rnacentral:tRNA from 3 species
GGGCGCUUAGCUCAGCUGGUCUAGAGCACCUGCCUUACAAGCAGGGGGUCACUGGUUCGAAUCCAGUAGCGCCCA